CCAUGACCGGGAUACGGACUCCUGAUCCGAGGUCACAUUUCAGAAGUUUGGGGUGUUUAACGGCUGUGGACGCGGAUGAAGUCCUCCCAGUGUGCAACUCUGCCAAAAAAGGGAAGAAGAAAGGGUCAUGAUUUCUGGGGGUUUUUACUUUCUGGCCACUCGGCGCCCCUCCCGGACGUUUCGAAAAAGAGUCAAAACUUUCAACAACGGAUCUCUUGGUUCUGGCAUCGAUGAAAAAAGCGCGAAAUGCGAUAAAUAAUGUGAAUUGUUCAAUAAAUUGAAAAUCUUCCCAUCUUUGCGCCAUUGUGCCGCCCGCUAUAUUAUGGGGGCGCCUGUGAAGCGCGUUUCAUCCUUGAAACCCCUCGGGGGGGGGCCAUAGGGAGCGAACAGUCAACCCCCCGCGAGGGGGUUUCCAAUAAGAGUUUUGGUUGGUCCUCCGGGGGGUUGCUUGGUCCGCAGCUGCCACACGCGCGGGGCGAACAUCCCGCCUAGGCAACAGUUUGGUAACGUUCUUGUUGGGUGUGGGAGUUGGAAACCCCGCUAAGACCCCUCCUAUCGUAGCAGAAAAGACGGAUCAUUACCGAGUUGUUGACAGAACUCCCAAACCCAAUGUGAACGUUACCAAACUGUUGCCUCGGCGGGAUCUCUGCCCCGGGUGCGUCGCAGCCCCGGACCAAGGCGCCCGCCGGAGGACCAACCAAAACUCUUAUUGUAUACCCCCUCGCGGGUUUUUUACUAUCUGAGCCAUCUCGGCGCCCCUCGUGGGCGUUUCGAAAAUGAAUCAAAACUUUCAACAACGGAUCUCUUGGUUCUGGCAUCGAUGAAGAACGCAGCGAAAUGCGAUAAGUAAUGUGAAAUUGCAGAAUUUCAGUGAAUCAUCGAAUCUUUGAACGCACAUUGCGCCCGCCAGUAUUCUGGCGGGCAUGCCUGUCCGAGCGUCAUUUCAACCCUCGAACCCCUCCGGGGGGUCGGCGUUGGGGAUCGGCCCUUUACGGGGCCGGCCCCGAAAUACAGUGGCGGUCUCGCCGCAGCCUCUCCUGCGCAGUAGUUUGCACACUCGCAUCGGGAGCGCGGCGCGUCCACAGCCGUUAAACACCCCAAACUUCUGAAAUGUUGACCUCGGAUCAGGUAGGAAUACCCGCUGAACUUAAGCAUAUCAAAAGGCGGGGAGGAAUCAUUAACGGAGUUUUCAACCUCCCAAACCCAAUGUGAACGUUACCAAAACUGUUGCCUCGGCGGGAUCUCUGCCCCGGGUGCGUCGCACCCCGGACCAAGGCGCCCGCCGAGGACCAACCAAAACUCUAUUGUAUACCCCCUCGCGGGUUUUUUACUAUCUGAGCCAUCUGGGCGCCCUGUGGGCGUUUCGAAAAUGAAUCAAACUUUCAACAACGGAGCUUGGGUUCUGGCAUGAUGAAAAAGCACGAAAUGCGAUAGUAAUGUGAAUUGCAGAAUCAUGAAAUCACAACUUGGAGCAUGGGCGCGUAUCUGGGCGGGCUGCUG
rnacentral:rRNA from 1 species